CUGAUUCCCAGGAUAGGACUCCUGGGUGGUGAGAUGGAAUGAGAUGUUCUGUACCCUAAAGGUGGGCUGAGCCCUUUUCACCUUUCAAGAGAAGAAUGUUGGCUUUGUUGAGAGCCAGUGGACUGUCACUAGAGAAGUCGGCAUGGCUAGAAACUGGGUGCUUGAAGAGUUCCUCUGGGCCUUCCCAACACAGGGAGAAAGGAAGCCAUCUCCCCCAGGAGGGGUGCAUCCAGGCCUUUUCAGGCUCUCAGGUUCUUCCCAUGCACGAACACCUGGCAGUGGAGGCUGAUGAAGAAAAUCAGGCUGGGGGUGUGCAGGUGCACUGCUGGAGCAACUCGCUGCAGGACGAAAAGCUACUCAGCCGUAGCUCUAUCUGCUUUUACCAAGAGCACAGAAGUUCUAUUAAUAGAAGGGAAAAUGUUACACUACUGGGUGUAAUACCUGAGUCUCCUGCCUUCACUUGGUUCCCUACGGUUAGAAGAGAUGGUGUGAUGAGAGGCCUGGGAGCCACAGCCACAGGUCUGAUUCUUUUGCUGUUACUCCUGUGUGGCUGGACUGGGACUAAGGAGGCGAUGGGACUCUAGAGACAGCUGCAGAAGGAUUGAACGGGAUAUUGUCACCAUCAUUUUUUAACCGGGAAAGCAGAUUUUGGGAAGAUCACUGUGUAUCUGUAGCAAUAUAUGAUACAUAUCUUUGAAGUUUUGUUACACUUUAGCAUCAUUUGCCAGGUUAAAAGUAUAAAUAUAUAAGUAUACUUAAAUAAAUGAAAAAUUUUGAAUGUUUACCA
rnacentral:lncRNA from 1 species